UUACGCUGUUAUCCCUAAGGUAAUUUAGUCUUAUAAUAAUCAAUAAUAUUGGAUCAUUAAUAAAUUAAGUAAUUUAUAUAUGAUUAUUAAAGAGUUAUUUUUAUCUUCUAGUCACCCCAACUAAAUAUUAAUAUAAUUUAUUAUAUUAAAUAACAACUUAUAAAUCUUAUUAAUAUUAAACUCUAUAGGGUCUUCUCGUCCCAAAAAAAAAUUUAAGCUUUUUAACUUAAUAAUUAAAUUCUAAUUUAAUAAUUCUAAGACAGUAAUUAUUUCGUCCAACCAUUCAUUCCAGCCUUCAAUUAAAAGACUAAUGAUUAUGCUACCUUUGCACGGUCAUAAUACCGCGGCCCAUUUAAUUAUUCAUUGGGCAGGUUAUACUUCAUAAAUUACAGAAAGAUGUUUUUGUUAAACAGGCG
rnacentral:rRNA from 1 species